UGGGGAAUAUUGCACAAUGGGCGCAAGCCUGAUGCAGCCAUGCCGCGUGUAUGAAGAAGGCCUUCGGGUUGUAAAGUACUUUCAGCGGGGAGGAAGGGAGUAAAGUUAAUACCUUUGCUCAUUGACGUUACCCGCAGAAGAAGCACCGGCUAACUCCGUGCCAGCAGCCGCGGUAAUACGGAGGGUGCAAUCGUUAAUCGGAAUUACUGGGCGUAAAGCGCACGCAGGCGGUUUGUUAAGUCAGAUGUGAAAUCCCCGGGCUCAACCUGGGAACUGCAUCUGAUACUGGCAAGCUUGAGUCUCGUAGAGGGGGGUAGAAUUCCAGGUGUAGCGGUGGAAUGCGUAGAGAUCUGGAGGAAUACCGGUGGCGAAGGCGGCCCCCUGGACGAAGACUAACGCUCAGGUGCGAAAGCGUAGGGAGCAAACAGG
rnacentral:rRNA from 1 species